AUUUCUUGACGCGGGCUUAUAAAAAUGCGAUCGUCGUCUCCUUCAUUCUUUCUCGUUCAAAAAUCAAAGAGGCCAAGCGGCUUUGGUCGACAACAGACUGUCUCGAUACGGAUACCAUUCGGAGCAGAAGCGAAGAAACUACCAUUGGUUGUUUGGCACCGGAGAUCAGAGAUCGAGGUUGAAAUUCUGGCAUACAAGAAGCUGUCUUAGAGAUAGGAAAAGAAACGGAAAGCACAUAUGCACGGUUUUUACAACAACAACAACGUUAAAGUAACGGGGAGUGGUGGCCGUUCGUCGAUCAGUCCACAGAGCGAUGACCAGCUUAUACUCGGCAGAAGAGGCCGUUAUGGAUUUACCAGCUCUGCUUUUGAUCCGCAAAUUCACAAUCCCCUCGAUGUGGACUCCACACUGAUCCGGUACUCCCGUGCCACAGGUGCAUCCCUUUCACCCUCCGCCGACGUUUUUCCAUCUCAGAUCAUCGAUUCCACCAAGUUUCACCCGCUUCUCCUCCAUCGCUCCAACAUAUCGCCUCGUGGCUCUUCGCCAUCCCCUCUGUCGUCGAUAGAGAACCUGGAGACCCCGCCGUCGAAGUCGCCGCCGGUGUUCGCCACGCCGGUUAAAGUUGAAGAGGACGUGCUAGUGAUGGACGGGAUUCUGGUCGGUUCAGUGCCGGGUGGACGUACGAGGUCGGGGCCAGAUUCCGGCUCCUCGUCAUCGGGGAACAGCCUCUAUAAGACGGAGAUCUGUCGAGCGUGGGAGGAUACCGGUAAUUGCCGCUACGGCUCCAAAUGCCAGGUACUGUUUUCCGGCUCCUAAUUCUUAAACAGUCCACGGUGAAGUUAGCCCCUUAGAAUGAUUCAACUCUGACUAAAAAGUCUACCAAUCGGACGGCUUAGACAGUCUUAGUCCACCUAUGCAGAAAACCACCACAGAGUGAAAGGAAUUGCACAAAGUGCAGCGGAUUACGACUCGUCGAUUGGAUGAAUGGAUGGACCGCAACUGUCACUGGUGCUGUUUAAGGUGUCUGAACUGAAUAACUUAUUGCCUUUUCAAGCACGCAGUUCAGCCGCUCCGUGGUGGACUGAUAGGCCAUAGCAAUCUCCGGCAUCUGCUGCGUUAAAAGAUUGACUGAGAGAGGAUCCGAUCCACGAUAAGAAUGUGGUGGAAAUGGAAUAUCACAGGCCAUUGGAAAUUUGGAUAUAGACAUAAUCCAAAUUGAACGGUUUUGAAGCAGUUUGCGCAUGGAAAAGAAGAGCUGCGUCCUACUCGUGUCUCUAGCAAGAACAAGUCCGAGGGACAGCUCUGCAAGUCGUUUGCUACAGGGACCUGCGCAUACGGCAGUAAGUGCCGCUUCAUUCAUCACAUGGCCGUGUCAUCACCGUCGAGAACAGCGACAUCGGCCGGAGCCACAACAAUGAUCAAGCCGGAACAAGACGACUGGUCCCCGGCGGACGAUGGCAUUGAGGUUCGGUUGCCUUCUUCGACAGAGCAUUGUCCAACAAGAGAAGAUGUUAAUUUGUACAUACAUGACGUCCUAUAUGGCCCCUCUCGAAGAAAGAGACUGCCGGUGUUCGCUGAAAUCUGCCCUAACUAGAAGACAUAUUAUAUCCCAAUUUCAUUAACAUCACCUUUUCUAUUUCCAGGCGCUGAGAUUUUUGUUUUGCUUCAGAGUCCUGCUACUGAUUACGAAAAGAUUUUUUGUUUUGGCAAUUACUCCUUUCCCUUUA